AUUUUGGAUUAAGGUUUUAUUCUGUCGAAAAAGUUUCAGGCUCAGGAAUAUUCAGAAAUGAUGGCCAAGUGCAUUGUAUUGACCGCUAUAGCGAUGUUGGCGGUGGCAUGUGUGGCCUCUCCUCUGUACAAAGACACAGCUGUGAACACAAAGGCGACUGAACGGUUUCCGGAGAGACCACCUGAGACACCCGAGAGACUGGAGUCCCGUGUGAGUCGUUCCGCGCAUAUACCGGCGGAUCAGCGCGAGCUCGUGUCCCGGCAGCUCUUACAGGCACUAUCAGAAAUCAUCCAACGGGAGUACUGCGUUACAGAUUAUCAAGGCUGGGUAGAUUUUGGGCGCCGGAG